rnacentral:rRNA from 1 species
UACAGAGGGUGCGAGCGUUAAUCGGAAUUACUGGGCGUAAAGCGUGCGCAGGCGGUUAUGCAAGACAGAUGUGAAAUCCCCGGGCUCAACCUGGGAACUGCAUUUGUGACUGCAUGGCUAGAGUACGGUAGAGGGGGAUGGAAUUCCGCGUGUAGCAGUGAAAUGCGUAGAUAUGCGGAGGAACACCGAUGGCGAAGGCAAUCCCCUGGACCUGUACUGACGCUCAUGCACGAAAGCGUGGGGAGCAAACAGG